UACGUAGGGUGCGAGCGUUAAUCGGAAUUACUGGGCGUAAAGCGUGCGCAGGCGGUUGGGCAAGUCUGAUGUGAAAGCCCCCGGCUCAACCGGGGAACGGGCGCCGAUACGACCGCCCUGGAGGAACGUAGGGGGACCUGGAACUUCCGGUGGAGCGGUGAAAUGCGUUGAGAUCGGAAGGAACGCCCGUGGCGAAAGCGAGGUCCUGGACGUUUUCUGACGCUGAGACGCGAAAGCCAGGGGAGCGAACGGG
rnacentral:rRNA from 1 species